GAGGUUCCAUGGCCUGCAAUGGGCAGGAGGUCCAGCUAGAUCGGGGUGGGCAAACUACGGCCCAUGGGCCACAUCUGGCCCACGGGACCGUCCUGCCCGGCCCCUGAGCUCCUGGCCCGGGAGGCUAGCCGCCAGUCCCUUCCCUGCUGUCCCCCUCCCCCACAGCCACAGCUCGCUCGCUCUGCUGCCAGCGCAGUGCUCUGGGUGGCGGGGCUGUGAGCUCCUGGGGCAGCGCAACUGCAGAGCCCAGCCUGACCCAGUGCUCUGAGAUGUGUGGUGGCGGCAGCCGCGUGGCCCAGCUCCAGCCGGGUGGCCCGGCUGUACUGCCACCAGCCAGGCAGCGCGAACAGCACAGGCCGACUGAGGUUGUGGUCUUAAAGUAAAAGUGGUCUGAGGAACCGCAAGGUCCAGGUCUGAUUCUGUGACCCCGGGUGGGGGUUGGAAAGUAAACGUCUGCAGCAACCCUACAAAGAACAGGAACAGCUCCAUCUUGGCCAGACUUUCUCCAAUGCAAUUCCUGCGCCCUGCAGUGUCAAAAAUGAUUAGAUUUAACUCAGCACCGAGGUGAGGGAAGGAAUCACGGUUAUUCCCUGGAAUACAACACAAAGCGCAAACUAAAAGAGGUCUUUGGCUCUACAAACCCCUCUACUUCCAAAAGCAACAUGAAAUCGCUGAUCGAACUGACACUCCGAUCGUGAGGAAUUCCCUUAGAGGUGCCGCAAGGGUAGAGGAACUGCCUCGGGGAAUUGAUGGCGCUGUUUGAGGGAAGGGAUCACAGAUUUGGCCCAUAACCAUUAUCUGAACCUGUGAUAUAUUGUUCUACAAAGGGCCAUUUUUGGAGGCAGGACUUUCUGGAAUGAAUACAUCCAAAAUGGCAGCACCGACUGGCAGGAGAGGCAAAAUACCUGAGCGCCGAAUCCAGUAUGGUUCAUCUUUCAUGAAGUGAUUCCUCAGCUGUGACACUCUUGCUACUUUUCCCAGAAGAAGAGAGCUUGUAGCGCUAAAGCUUGUCUCUGUCACCACAAUAAGUUGGUUCAAGAAAAGAUACCACCUCACUUCCACCUUGUCUAAUUUCUGUCUAGGAGCCUCAGUCAUGCACCAGGACCCCGAAUAUUUACUGCCCUGUUUAUUAAACACUGACAGAAACAGAUCCGAGGCAGAGCUGGAUGGGCAGGAAGGAAACAUGCUCAGACAGCCAGGGUGAAGUUUUGCAAAACUGUCCUCUUGGGGCGUGUAAAGAGGUGCAAAAACCUUUGCUGGCAUAAUGCACAUGAUGCAGACAUCCUGAUGGCACCCAGAUGUGGGAUAUGCUGCACCUGCCAAAUUUGCUGUUGUGUCGCUUGGGAGUAUGAUUGCAUGACCAUGUUUCGAGAGAAAGGGAUGCAGUGUGAGAGAGAAGACUUGUAUGCUCUCCAACAGCUGCAUACGUUACCAUCCACAGCAACCACCGAGCAAGCAUGGUGUUCCCUUCAGAAAGGAAUAGUCAAUAUACUCCCAACACAUCAAGCCACUACGACCUGUGCUGUCUUGCAGGAUUUUCCCUGGCUUGCCAUAC